CUACACCAUAAAGGCAUACCAUUUCUUAAAGAACACAUCCCAGGCUAUUUCAAAAGGCAUAUUUUGAACCUUAGCGUGGGAUAAUUUUUCCGCUAGUUUGAGUACAGCAAUACCCCCAUAUGUACCUUUGCCAGGUAUAUGUGGACAUGGAAGGAGCACAUUUAAUUUAGAGGACAUUUGAGACACAACCAUUCCACUUAAAAUGUUUAUGCUGUGCCCAUGUCCCAUUUUAGAGUAUUUUACCAGGCUAUAUAAUC